rnacentral:rRNA from 1 species
UACGGGGGGAGCAAGCGUUGUUCGGAUUUACUGGGCGUAAAGGGCGCGUAGGCGGUCGUGCCAAGUCACUUGUGAAAUCUCCGGGCUUAACUCGGAACGGUCAAGUGAUACUGUCGGACUAGAGUACAGAAGGGGCAACUGGAAUUCUCGGUGUAGCGGUGAAAUGCGUAGAUACAAUCAAGAACUCCGAUUGCGUAGGCAGCUAACUAGGCUGUAACUGGCGCUGAGGCACGAAAGUGUGGGGAUCGAACAGG